AUUAUUUUUUCCCUUGAGGAAAGGAACGAGAGUGUGAACAGCAGUCUGGAUUUUUCUUGUUCUGUUACCAUAAUUAGAAAAGUCAGAUAAAAUUAUGCAGGAGCAGAUUGAGAGAAAAAUAUCGCUUGGCUUUCAUAUGAAUAGCUAUCUCUUAUAAAUUCAAAGGUUUUUAUCUCCCUGCAAAUAUCUUUCAUCCCUGAGUAGUGUACCUCUUUUAAGUCUGUUUUCAUGUUGAAAGACAAGCACACUCUUUGAAAACGUUCAAGCAUUAAUGGGACGCCUGUGCACCACCACUGCCACCAUUGUUAGGAAUGGUACCUGAUGGACUGGUGUCUUCCCAGCGGAGAGAGGCUAAAGAUCAUCACCCUGUAAUUACACAGUACUGACACAAUCAGGUCAGGAUCGAAAACACUAGACAAAUCAUUUUCCCAAAAACUGAAAAUGCAUCAAUUUCCUUCUCUCACCACUGCCCCCAGUCUUUAGUCUUUUGCUGAGCAUAUAUUCAGGUCCUGGACAACAGCUAGAAAAUUUUUGAUAAAUUCAAAAAGCUUUAGAACAAAGAAGGCAGGCAUUUUACACGUGGGACACUAAGAAGGGUCCACUUCGGAUUUAAAUGGCUGAGUGUGAGAGACCAGACCACAAGCCACUUUGGUUCUUGGCCCUCAUUCUCCACCCACGACACGUCUUCUUUCUCCCAAACCCUCCUUCCAGUAGAUCACACUCAGUUCCUAUUAUUUCCUGUAGGUUUCUACCAACAAGCAUGUCUUUUGUCACAUGGUCCCAUCUCAUCCACCCAAGCCUGAUCUCACUCAGUUCCAUUGGCUCAGAGCAACUCCACCUGUCUCCCCAUUUCUUUGGGGAGAGCUUUUCCAUUUCACUUCCCAUCCCACAAAGCCAAACCAACACCCAUCUAUUUCACAGAAUCCCUGACAGCUCCUCUUCCUUCUUUGCGUUGACAAGUAUGAAUAGCUAAAUUAUACAUAUAGCAUUUAGAUUCUGCUUUGUAUUUGGCCUUUAACCAUUUACAUUUUACGUCAAUUUUUCAACCCAGAUUGUAAGAUCACUGAAGGUAGGGACUUUCUGACUUUGCUUGGAUGGUACUCUGCAGUGUUUAAACAAUUGCUGGGACCCCAUAUAUGUUUCUUUAGUAUUACAGUCCUAGAUAUCUGCUUACUAAAGUGAGUAAGAGAGUUUCAUUGUGCUUUCUGUUGAAAUUAAUUUGAUAGGUGACAAGUGCAAUAAACCGUUUCUCAGUGGAAGUAAAAGAAGAGAGGGGAGGAAUCUGAGGAAGAGAGAUGAAAUUUGGGUAUAACUCUUGGGAUAUAAAAUUAAAAUGCCAUCUGCCUUUGAGAUGGAACAGAUGUGUAAUUGACAUUCAAUGCUCAUUUGCCACUUGAAUUUUGCAGACAUUUAAUACAGUAAUUGUUUGUACAGUAAGAUUUCAAAUACCCUUUGGAGAACAGCUCACUUUUCCUAUAGUGUCCAUAUUCAGUACCAGCAGUACCAGCAGACAGAAAUGGGUUCUUAUAUACCUAGAGCUUUGAAAGUGUAAGUUUAAAAGAUUUGCAUGGUGCCUUUUUGAAGAGAAUAAUAUGAUAAUA
rnacentral:lncRNA from 1 species